rnacentral:rRNA from 1 species
UAAAAAUUUUAGAUUGAUUCUGUCUAUUUUAGUUAAUUGUUUGAUAGUAUUAUAUAUAAAUUUUUGUGUGGUUAUAAUUUAUCUAAAUGGUAUUAUUUGUUUAUUUGUAGUUUUUAAUAUUAGGUAUUUUUGAAAAAUUAACCUAGUUAAUCUUAAUAGAAUUGUAAAAUGUUGUGCCAGCAUACGCGGUUACACAAUUAAUUCAAGUUAAUUUUUUCGGUUAUUUAUUAAUUUUAUUUUGUUAAAAUUUAUAUUUUUGUUAUUUAGGUGAAAUUUUAAUUUUUAUUAUAUAUUUUUGGUUGUAAGAUUAUAAGAAAUUUAGAUUUUAAACUAGGAUUAGAUACCCUAUUAUUCUAAAUGUAAAUUGUAAGCCUUUAUAUUAAUAGUUAUGGUCUUUAAAUUAAAAGGAUUUGGCGGUAAUUUAGUCUUUUCAGAGGAACCUGUUCUGUAAUUGAUAAUCCACGAUGGAUUUUACUUUAUUUUUGUUUGUAUAUCU